GGCCUUACCUACUCUUGACAUCCAGAGAACUUUCCAGAGAUGGAUUGGUGCCUUCGGGAACUCUGAGACAGGUGCUGCAUGGCUGUCGUCAGCUCGUGUUGUGAAAUGUUGGGUUAAGUCCCGCAACGAGCGCAACCCUUAUCCUUUGUUGCCAGCGGUCCGGCCGGGAACUCAAAGGAGACUGCCAGUGAUAAACUGGAGGAAGGUGGGGAUGACGUCAAGUCAUCAUGGCCCUUACGAGUAGGGCUACACACGUGCUACAAUGGCGCAUACAAAGAGAAGCGACCUCGCGAGAGCAAGCGGACCUCAUAAAGUGCGUCGUAGUCCGGAUUGGAGUCUGCAACUCGACUCCAUGAAGUCGGAAUCGCUAGUAAUCGUAGAUCAGAAUUG
rnacentral:rRNA from 1 species